AGCAUAAGCGCUUCAAGAGCCUAUUCCUCUUCUUCUCUUCAUCCAGCUCCCGAUGAAGCGCUCGUCGUCGAGGAGGUCCGGCUCCGCCGCCUCCCAUGUCAGCUCCUCCUCCUCCUCCUCUCCCCGGAUCCUGCGAUCUUCUCCGCUCCGGCUCAAGUAAGGCAGUAUCCAAGGAAACAGAACGAAUCGAUCAACUAUUUUACACAUAUAUGGAUAAGCCCUCCGGCAUGAUUGACCCCGAAGGCAUUGAGUCUUUCUGUUCUGAUCUUGAAGUAGAUCAUACCGAUGUGAGAAUACUUAUGCUUGCAUGGAAAAUGCAGGCUGAGAGACAAGGAUAUUUUACCCUGGAAGAGUGGCGAAAGGGCCUAAAAGCCUUACAUGCUGAUUCAAUAAGCAAGAUAAAGAAGGUUCUGCCAGACUUGGAGAGGGAGGUCAGGAGACCUACAAGUUUCAUGGAUUUCUAUAGUUAUUCAUUUCGUUAUUGCCUGACAGAAGAGAAGCAGAAGAGUAUAGAUAUCGAGAUUGCUUGUGAACUGCUGAGCGUUGUGUUAGGCUACCUGUUCCGGCACCAGGUUGACAAACUUGUAGAGUAUCUCAAGAACCAGCAUGAGUACAAGGUUAUUAACAUGGACCAAUGGAUGAGUUUCCUUCGAUUUUGCAACGAGAUAAACUUCCCGUCACUUGAAAACUACGAUCCAAAUCUUGCUUGGCCUUUGAUUUUGGACAAUUUUGUGGAUUGGAUGCGUGAGAAACAAAAUGGAUCCUUGGGUCUCAAAAGUUUUUAGCUGCCACUUUUUCCCCAAAACUGCUCCAUACUCAUCCAUCUCAGGAACUAGAUAAUAGCCAUUUCGGCAACACAAAUAUCUGAGUGUGCUGGUUAUGAGCUGUGGUUUUAGUGAAGAGUAUGACUAUAUUUUCAUUAGAUAGUUCAUGGCUUGAAAUACAUGUAGACAUAUAAAGUAGUAAUAAUAGGAGUGAUGUAACUAUACUGGUUUGUUUUC